UGUACUGUCAACCAAAACACCAGU
rnacentral:siRNA from 1 species